rnacentral:rRNA from 1 species
GACGAACGCUGGCGGCGUGCUUAACACAUGCAAGUCGAACAGAAAGGCCCUGCUUUUGUGGGGUGCUCGAGUGGCGAACGGGUGAGUAACACGUGAGUAACCUGCCCUUGACUUUGGGAUAACUUCAGGAAACUGGGGCUAAUACCGGAUAGGAGCUCCUGCUGCAUGGUGGGGGUUGGAAAGUUUCGGCGGUUGGGGAUGGACUCGCGGCUUAUCAGCUUGUUGGUGGGGUAGUGGCUUACCAAGGCUUUGACGGGUAGCCGGCCUGAGAGGGUGACCGGCCACAUUGGGACUGAGAUACGGCCCAGACUCCUGCGGGAGGCAGCAGUGGGGAAUAUUGCACAAUGGGCGGAAGCCUGAUGCAGCAACGCCGCGUGCGGGAUGACGGCCUUCGGGUUGUAAACCGCUUUCGCCUGUGACGAAGCGUGAGUGACGGUAAUGGGUAAAGAAGCACCGGCUAACUACGUG